CCUACGGGUGGCUGCAGUGAGGAAUAUUGGUCAAUGGGCGCGAGUCUGAACCAGCCAAGUAGCGUGAAGGAUGACUGCCCUACGGGUUGUAAACUUCUUUUAUAAAGGAAUAAAGUGUGGCACGUGUGGGAUUUUGUAUGUACCUUAUGAAUAAGGAUCGGCUAACUCCGUGCCAGCAGCCGCGGUAAUACGGAGGAUCCGAGCGUUAUCCGGAUUUAUUGGGUUUAAAGGGAGCGUAGGUGGGUUGUUAAGUCAGUUGUGAAAGUUUGCGGCUCAACCGUAAAAUUGCAGUUGAUACUGGCAGUCUUGAGUACAGUUGAGGUAGGCGGAAUUCGUGGUGUAGCGGUGAAAUGCUUAGAUAUCACGAAGAACUCCGAUUGCGAAGGCAGCUUACUAAACUGCCACUGACAUUGAGGCUCGAAAGUGUGGGUAUCAAACAGGAUUAGAUACCCUAGUAGUC
rnacentral:rRNA from 1 species